GCAGCUCAGUUGGCAGAGUGGGAGACUGCUGAUCUCAGGGUUGGGGGUUCAAGCCCCAUGUUGGGCA